UUGGUUCAGACAAUUGGUAUAUGGGGUUAGCUGAACAGCUAGUGCCCCGAAGCUACCAUCUGUAGGAUUAUGACUGAACGCCUCUAAGUCAGAAUCCAUGCUGAAAAGCGACGAUAUUCACCUUUUUCGAUGUGGACUGUAUAUGAAUAAGCCUUCGGGCUCAGCAUCAUACGAUUGCGCACUCACUUCUGUUCUCGAUUUGAGCAGUUGUGGCGCUGAAACACAAUUUCGAACGUUGAAAGAGAUGAAUCCUUUGUAGACGACUUAAAUAUAGAACGGGGUUCUGUAAGCAUGAGAGUAGG
rnacentral:rRNA from 1 species